CCAAAGCAAAAUAAUUAAAACAUUAAAAGAAAAUAAAAUAGAAUUUAAAAAAUAAACAUGAGUCAGCCCAUUCCUCGGGAAUCCUACCCGUCCCAUCUAUUGUCAUCAUUGCAAAACAAAAUCACUUACCUCUUCCCCAUCCCUUCCAUAUUUGCAUUUUCACAGAAAUGAUUUUUCUCCUUUCUGCUCCUUAGGGAUCGAAGCACUUCCCUAUUGUUCCUUCAAUCUGGUUCACGAAUCCACUCGUCCUCCAUCGUUCUCCUUGCGAAUCCCGGGACCGCUCCUUCCAGUCCACAAGACCCACAGACCACAAUAGAAUGAUACGCGUUGAAGUACUGAGCAGUUGUUGAAAACCCAAGUAAACUACUCGGACAUGUCCUGUAUUGAAUUUAAUAAGAUCCCAGGAAAACCAACUAACCCCCUUAUCUCCUUUGUAAUAGGACAACUCCUAAAAACAUGAUUCAUAGUUUCAGCACCCUUCCAACAUAUUGGACACAUCAUAUUGGCAACUAGUCUUUUGUAAUGCAUAUUUGAAAUACGCCAUAUUGUAAUCUUGAUUUUAAAGGGUAGGUUUAAGCCCCAAAGUUGCUUGUAAAAUUCUCUAGAUGCAUUUUGUAAUUCAUCUAGGAUAGGAGUAGGAAUACUUGUCUGUAAAAAUUUGUAAACACUCCUAACGGAGAACUCUCCUGAGGACUCGUCUCCCUACACCAUCACGUCCUCCUGAGGAUUCGCCACCAGCGAGAUUCGAAGUAUCCUGGCCACAUCAACAUCUGCAAAGGUACUAGUAAUAAUAUCUCUUUUCCACUCGAUAGAAGCACUAUUAAUUAGAUCGGCAACCAUAGAAACAUCAGGGUUUCAAACUGCGCUGCUUAAUUUAUAAUUAAUCAAACUCAGUAUCCAAGCAUGAUUAAAAAUUGAAA